GCCUAACACAUGCAAGUCGAGGGGUAACAGAGGUAGCUUGCUACUUGCUGACGACCGGCGCACGGGUGCGUAACGCGUAUACAAUCUACCUUUUACUAGGAGAUAGCCUUUGGAAACGAAGAUUAAUACCCUAUAGUAUGUAAAGUUGGCAUCAACUUUAUAUUAAAGAUUACGGUAAAAGAUGAGUAUGCGUCCUAUUAGCUAGAUGGUAAGGUAACGGCUUACCAUGGCAACGAUAGGUAGGGGCCCUGAGAGGGGGAUCCCCCACACUGGUACUGAGACACGGACCAGACUCCUACGGGAGGCAGCAGUGAGGAAUAUUGGACAAUGGAGGCAACUCUGAUCCAGCCAUGCCGCGUGCAGGAAGACUGCCCUAUGGGUUGUAAACUGCUUUUAUACAGGAAGAAACAGCUCUACGUGUAGAGCCUUGACGGUACUGUAAGAAUAAGGAUCGGCUAACUCCGUGCCAGCAGCCGCGGUAAUACGGAGGAUCCAAGCGUUAUCCGGAAUCAUUGGGUUUAAAGGGUCCGUAGGUGGAUAAUUAAGUCAGAGGUGAAAUCCUGCAGCUCAACUGUAGAAUUGCCUUUGAUACUGGUUAUCUUGAGUUAUUAUGAAGUAGUUAGAAUAUGUAGUGUAGCGGUGAAAUGCAUAGAUAUUACAUAGAAUACCAAUUGCGAAGGCAGAUUACUAAUAAUAUACUGACACUGAUGGACGAAAGCGUGGGUAGCGAACAGGAUUAGAUACCCUGGUAGUCCACGCCGUAAACGAUGGAUACUAGCUGUUCGGAUUUAUCUGAGUGGCUAAGCGAAAGUGAUAA
rnacentral:rRNA from 1 species